rnacentral:lncRNA from 1 species
GCCAGACCCAAUACUGGCCGUUUUCAGCAGCUGACAUUUACAAUUGGAAACAACACAACCCUUCUUUCUCCAAAGAUCCGGUGACACUCACCGACCUAAUAGAAUCUGUUUUACUUACCCACCAGCCUACUUGGGAUGACUGCCAACAGCUCUUACAGGCCCUCUUAACCUCAAGAAAAAAAACAAGGAGUGUUCCUAGAGGCCAGAAAGCAUGUUCUGGGAGAUGAUGGGCGUCCCACCCAGCUGCCUAAAAAAAUUGAUGCUACAUUCCCACUUAAGAGACCAAACUGGGAUUUUAAUACAGCUGAAGCCCUUCUCUGAGGGCCCAUUUACAGGCCCUACAGAUUGUGCAGAGA